UGCAACAUCAGCUUUCAAGUCAGUCCUCAUAUCUGGAACAGGGAUAUCUCUCAACCAGGAUCUCAAUCAAGAAUGUACCCUGCAUAUGGAUAAACAUGAGUUAGAUGCGGAAAAAUGCAAAAUGUUAAUGAUGCUGAUGUAUGAAUGCAAUGCACUGUGCCAUCCCCCAAGUCAUCUAAUCAUCAACUGCACUGAGUCACGGUCUCUGAACUGAUCACAACCAUCUGAGGUACUGAGUAACCCACAAAUC
rnacentral:lncRNA from 1 species